rnacentral:misc_RNA from 1 species
UAAUAAGUGUUUUAUGGCACUUUUCAAAUCCAUAUCCACCUUGUGUGCAAUGUCCAGGUCGAUCUUCUUCAUUGAGGAUUGACCAAACAUCAACCUUUAUCUUUUAACUCUUUGUCUGAAAAUAUUAUGAAUAAACAAUUCAAAAUA